UUUCAGAGAGAAUACGAUGAACUGUAAUUCUUAUCUGGGCACUUGAAUUAUAGGGAGUAAUUAGUGCAACCGGCUCCUGCGAGG
rfam:Halobacillus mangrovi strain KTB 131, complete genome.